rnacentral:rRNA from 1 species
ACUCAAAGGAAUAGACGGGGGCCCGCACAAGCGGUGGAACAUGUGGUUUAAUUCGAUGCAACGCGAAGAACCUUACCUACCCUUGACAUCCUGCGAAGGCGCUAGAGAUAGUGCUGUGCCUUCGGGAAUGCAGUGACAGGUGCUGCAUGGCUGUCGUCAGCUCGUGUCGUGAGAUGUUGGGUUAAGUCCCGUAACGAGCGCAACCCUCGUCCUUAGUUACCAUCAUUUAGUUGGGGACUCUAAGGAGACUGCCGGUGUUAAACCGGAGGAAGGUGGGGAUGAUGUCAAGUCAUCAUGGCCUUUAUGGGUAGGGCUACACACGUGUUACAAUGGGCAGUACAACAGGCUGCGAGACCGCAAGGUCGAGCUAAUCCUAAAAGCUGCUCGUAGUCCGGAUUGAAGUCUGCAACUCGACUUCAUGAAGUUGGAAUCGCUAGUAAUCGCGGAUCAGAACGCCGCGGUGAAUACGUUCCCGGGCCUUGCACACACCGCCCGU